AAUGGGCGAAAGCCUGAUCCAGCCAUGCCGCGUGAGUGAUGAAGGCCUUAGGGUUGUAAAGCUCUUUCAGCGGGGAAGAUAAUGACGGUACCCGCAGAAGAAGCCCCGGCUAACUUCGUGCCAGCAGCCGCGGUAAUACGAAGGGGGCUAGCGUUGCUCGGAAUCACUGGGCGUAAAGCGCACGUAGGCGGCUUUCUAAGUCAGGGGUGAAAUCCUGGAGCUCAACUCCAGAACUGCCUUUGAUACUGGAAAGCUUGAGUUCGGGAGAGGUGAGUGGAACUGCGAGUGUAGAGGUGAAAUUCGUAGAUAUUCGCAAGAACACCAGUGGCGAAGGCGGCUCACUGGCCCGAUACUGACGCUGAGGUGCGAAAGCGUGGGGAGCAAA
rnacentral:rRNA from 1 species